rnacentral:rRNA from 1 species
GAUGAACGCUGGCGGCGUGCCUAAUACAUGCAAGUCGAGCGAACAGACGAGGAGCUUGCUCCUCUGACGUUAGCGGCGGACGGGUGAGUAACACGUGGAUAACCUACCUAUAAGACUGGGAUAACUUCGGGAAACCGGAGCUAAUACCGGAUAAUAUAUUGAACCGCAUUGUUCAAUAGUGAAAGACGGUUUUGCUGUCACUUAUAGAUGGAUCCGCGCCGCAUUAGCUAGUUGGUAAGGUAACGGCUUACCAAGGCAACGAUGCGUAGCCGACCUGAGAGGGUGAUCGGCCACACUGGAACUGAGACACGGUCCAGACUCCUACGGGAGGCAGCAGUAGGGAAUCUUCCGCAAUGGGCGAAAGCUUGACGGAGCAACGCCGCGUGAGUGAUGAAGGUCUUCGGAUCGUAAAACUCUGUUAUUAGGGAAGAACAAAUGUGUAAGUAACUAUGCACAUCUUGACGGUACCUAAUCAGAAAGCCACGGCUAACUACGUG